GAUCAGCAAAGAUGGGGAAUGUGUAGACAUUCAUCGGAACUCCCGGCAAAAGGCUUGCAAAGGUGAUUUCCCUUUC
rnacentral:ncRNA from 1 species